rnacentral:lncRNA from 1 species
GUUUAUGUAUGUGGAAGUACUCCUUAUCAUUAUGAGCACUUUCAAGAGACUAUGUAAAUAGACCUUGAGAUUUAUAAAAGUUUCCUCAUGCAUUUCGUAAUCAGUGGCCACAUCAUAAUACCAAUACAAUAGCGUCGAACAUUUCUGAAACAUAUCUAAAAAAGUGGAGCACCUAAGCUGGCAGAUAUUGAGAUCGGUGGAGUCAUCAUAGGAACCUCGUCAUCGACGUGCGCAUUAUACCCUUUCGAAAAGUCUAGAAUAUAUCUAAAAAAUUACAAGCACAUGUGUCAAAUUUUAUACUUCAAUGCUAGAUAGAUACAUCCGUUCGAGCGACAAAUAAUAUGAAUCGGAGGGAGAAAUAUGAGUAUAGUUUGGGCCAGGAGAAACCUAACUAACUAACCUAAAGAUCAGUUCACAUACACAUGAUCAUGAUGACAAGAUUGUAUAUGGUCAAUUUGGUGUUACAUUCACAUAUACUCAGUUAACAUUUAUUUGAAAGAAAUGCAGCAGGGGAAGCUCCUACAACUAGUUUUGUUUCUAAAAG